rnacentral:lncRNA from 1 species
UUUUUUUUCAGCACUGGGAAUUGAACUCAGGGGCACUAUACCACUGAGCUAUAUUCCCAACUCUUUUUUUGUUUGUUUGUCUUUUUGAGACAGGGACUCACCAAGUUUGAGGCUAGACUAGAAUUCAUAAUCCUCCUGCAUCAACCUUCAGAGUUGCUGUGAUUACAGGCAUUUGCCAUCAUGCCAGACUGAAAUGCUUAUCUUGGAUGGGGAAAGAAGAAGUUUAAAUAUAGAUCAAGAGAGUACUUGCCUGAAGAUGAUUUGUUUUUUAUUUGGUAGAAGGUGUGCCAAAUUGAGAUUUAAUAAUCUCUACUCUGAAUUAUAGAAUUUUUUCAUUUCAUUUUAUUUGGGAAUUCUGCUGUAUAACAGGAUUAAACCAAACAAACAUAUAAUUUCUGAGUCUGUAAAUACCAGUUGGGUUUUGUUGUUGUCUUUUGCUUUUUUGUUUUUGGUGUCUGAGAUUGAACACAGGGCUUCAUGCAUGAUAAGCAUGUGCUCUACUUCUGAGCUACAGCUCAGACCCCACCGGUUGGUUUAUUUAUUUAUUAUUAUUAUUUUUUUGGCACUGGGGAUUCAACCCAGGGGUGCUCUAAAACUGAGUUACAUCCCCAGGCCCUUUUCAAACAGGGUCUGGCUAAGUUGCUGAGGCUGGCCUUGAACUUGCAAUCCUCCUGCCUGAGUCUCUGGAAUUUCUAGGAUUACAGGCAAAUACCACCACGCCCAGUCACCACUUGUUUUUUAACCAUCCUAUCAAAGUGAGGAAGAAAUGAGUUUUUCUAUGCUCCAAAUGUUUGUUUUCCCUGCCCCCUGAACUUCAUUUGUUGAAACUCUAACCUCCAAAGUGAUGGUAUUAGGAGUUGAGCCUUUGCAUGGGAUUAGUGCCUUAAUAGAGACACCAAAAAGCCUGCUUCCUCUGUUUUCUGCCAUGUGAGAAUAUAAGACAACAGCCAGUUGCAAGCCAGGAAACAGGUUCUUACCAGAUGUCAAAUCUGCCAGUGCCUGGUUUUAAACUUCCAGCCUCUAGAACUGACAAAUAAAUCUUUUUUAAGUUACCCAGACUAUGGUAUUUUGUUAUAGCUGCCCAAAGUGAGACAACUUUCCUACUUCACAGUGUCCUGGGGAAA